rnacentral:rRNA from 1 species
ACCGACCUGCAGAACGCGAAGAACCUUACCCACACUUGACAUGUCUCUUGGGUACUUUCAGAGAUGAUUGUCUUCGGUUCGGCCGGGAGAACACAGGUGCUGCAUGGCUGUCGUCAGCUCGUGUCGUGAGAUGUUGGGUUAACGUCCCGCAACGAGCGCAACCCUUAUCGUAUGUUGCCAGCAUUUAGUUGGGCACUCAUGCGAGACUGCCGGUGAUAAGCCGGAGGAGGCGGGGACGACGUCAAGUCAUCAUGGCCCUUACGUGUGGGGCUAGAAACGUGCUACAAUGGUGGUUACAGUGGGCAGCGAGGUCGUGAAGCCAAGCUAAUCCCUAAAAGCCAUCUCAGUUCAGAUUGCAGUCUGCAACUCGACUGCAUGAAGUUGGAAUCGCUAGUAAUCGUGAAUCAGCAUGUCACGGUGAAUACGUUCCCGGGUCUUGUACACACCG